rnacentral:rRNA from 1 species
UGGAUUACGUGNGGCUAACUCCGGNGCUAAUACNUGCAACAAGGCUCCGACCCCGAUCUUCGGGCGGGGGAAGGGCGCACUUAUUAGGCGAAAACCAAUGGCUCGCUUCGGCGGGCGUUGGUGGACGACACCCGAGUAAUUGCCGCCGAUCGCACGGCCACAGCGCCGGCGACGCCUACAUUGAGUUUCUGAUCUAUCAUGCUGUCGACGGUUGGUGCUAUGCCAACCGUGGCGUUAACGGAUAACAGAGAAUCUGGGUUCGAUUCUGGAGAGGCCGCAUGAGAAACGGCGACCACUUCCAAGGAAGGCAGCAGGCACGCAAAUUACCCACUUCGGACACCGAGAGGUAGUGACGAACAAUACCGAUGCGGCGCACUUACGUGUCGCCGUAAUCGGAAUGAGUACACUUCAAAUCCUUUAACGAGGAUCCACUGGAGGGCAAGCCUGGUGCCAGCAGCCGCGGUAAUUCCAGCUCCAGCAGCGUAUAUUUAUAUUGCUGCGUUUAAAAAGCUCGUAGUUGAAGCGUCAGACGCGGGAGGGCGGACGGCCGUACUGGUCGCUCUCGCCCGACCGAGCCAGGCGCAGAGGGCGCGCGUCGCUUGCACUUCGCCGUGUGAGCGCGCCGCCGCUGCACGUUCACCUUGAAGAAAUUGAACCGCUUAGAGGGGGCGAGUUAGCUUGACAAAGCUGAAACUUAAAGGAAUUGACGGAAGGGCACCACCAGGAGUGGAGCCUGCGGCUUAAUUUGACUCAACACGGGAAACCUCACCCGGCCCGAACACUGUUAUGACAGACAGGUUGAGAGCUCUUUCUCGAUUCAGUGGUUGGUGGUGCAUGGCCGUUCUUAGUUCGUGGAGCGAUCUGUCUGGUUAAUUCCGAUAACGAACGAGAUUCUUGCCUGCUAAAUAGACGGCGUCGACUGUGCGCGACGUCCGUUUGCUUCUUAGAGGGACAAGCGGCUUUUAGCCGCGUGAAGCUGAGAGCAAUAACAGGUCAGUGAUGCCCUCAGAUGUUCGGGGCCGCACGCGCGCUACACUGUUUGCAUCAGCGUGUUUCUCCCGCGCCGGCCGGCGCGGGCAACCCGUUGAACCGCAAACGUGCUAGGGAUCGGAGAUUGCAAUUGUUCUCCGUGAACGAGGAAUUCCUUGUACUGGCGAGUCAUCAGCUCGCGGGGAAUCUGUCCCUGCCCUUUGUACACACCGCCCGUCGCUACUACCGAUUGAGUGGUUUAGUGAGGCUCACGGACGGCGAGCGGCACCCGUCGGCUUCGGCCGUCAAGCGGCGUCGCGAGCUGAAAGUGAGACGAACCUUGAUCACUUCUAGGAAGUAAAAGUCNUAACAAGGUUUUCGUAGGUGAACCUGCGGAAAGGA